AGAAUUUUUUUAUUUUGGUUAUUUAAGGUUGAAGAUUUGGAGGAUUUUUUACAUUUUUCUUAGAUAUUUCCUUCUAUUUCUUUUUUAAGGUUUGAAGAAGACAUAAAAGGAAAUACCAACAUUUGAAAGAUUUUAACAUACACACUAUCUUGUCAUGAAUUAAUAAACAUGACUUUUUAUUUUGUCAAAGACUAGGGGAAAAAAUUACCUAAAAAAAAAAAUUCUUUAUACAAUUUUCAAAUUAUAUAAACUUUAGCUAAUCAAAACAAGAUUACAGGGUCCUUUGGAUAUCCCUGAGAAUCUUGUUUCCGGAUCUCAUGCUUUUUCGAUAGAAACAUCAGGUGAACAUUCUGAUAGCAAUUUCCCUUGUCAUAUGGCAUUGUGCAAGACGAUGGUGGAAUAUGAAAAUAAAUCAGAAAUAAAUAGGAGUACAAUACUAAAACGCAAAAAAGAAAAAACAUGACUGAUAAUUUUGUACAUUUUAACUAUACCUAUUUUAUCAAUUGUUUUAAACUAUAUCUCCA